CUUUUGCCGCAAUACUACUCCACGACUCUAGUCUCCUCUGUUUGUGGGUGUAGGGUGCAGCAGACUGGCCUUCGUCUCUCUUCAGGUUCUCGCUUCUCCCAACACAAAGUUGCAGACCCAUUAUUCAUCGCAAACCAAUCUCUCUUCCUCUCGCUUUGAAGCUUCUUCUUCUCUGCUUCACGUUUGUUCUCUUCCCGAAGAUUCUCCGAUUCGUUUUCCAUUUCUGUCUUCAGUGUCUAGAAGUUUAUGGUUUUCUGAAUUUGAUGAUCUGCUGGAGUAACGUGAUAACAGAGCACAGCCAAACCAUUUUGAACUCUUUGCACUCAUUUUUACUGGGACUUGACUAGAGAUUGGGAGUUGAGGAGCAUGAAGAUUAAUUAUGUAGUCAGCUCCUAUCUUGAUCCCCUUACCGUUAAGGUAUACUGAUUGGGGACAUGUUCAAGGACAGUCACCAUAUGCCUCUGGUUCUCCAUCAAAAGCCGUCUGCAUUUCUGAUAUUAAUUAGUUGAAGAUAUUAUUUCUAGUUGAAGACUUAGGAAGCAUAUUAUGAAAGUGCUUCAUUUGUUCAUGUUGGUUGGAUUUGAAAAAACAAUUGAUGUUAGGGCUCUGUUUAUUACUAUAUUA